ensembl:snoRNA
AACCAAAGCCUAAGCAUGACGAUUGGGUUUCCACGCUAUUGUAUGAUAUGUGCCUUCCUCAAAACUUGUUACAUCAUCACAUCACCCAUCUGAUG